AAUUCAUUUACACUGCAAAAUCCUAAUCCUUGCUGUAUUAAAAAAAAAAAAGAAAACUGGGUCCCGAUCGAAGAAGAGUUUCAACAAGAUUCUUCCAACAGAGAUAAUUUCAGAUAUCUCAACUCGUUUACCCACAGAAUCAGCAUUAGAAUGUAAGUUGGUCUGCAAAACAUGGAUGAAUCUCAUUCAACAUUCAUCAUUUCCCCAAAUGCAUUUAGCUCGUCUAAAUCAUCCAGAUUCAGCCGAAUCAGGUAAGUUAAGAUAUGUUUAUUUGAAAUCAGAUGAUGAUGAUUGGUUUAAUCGUAGUCAACAUCUUUCGUAUUUUGAGUUUAAUGAUAAUAAGGAUUGGAAUUAUGCAAAACCCAUUUACAGAAAAAUCAAUCUUAGAACUGGAUGCGAAGCUUACAUCGUUAUUGGUUCGUUUAAUGGUUUGAUUUGUAUUUAUGGAACUCAACCUGAUAUACCUGAUACUAGAGGACCUGCUAUUAUUUAUAACCCAGUGACAAAUGAAUACGUUGUUCUUCCAGAAUUUGAUACUUUUCCACAAUUUAAGACAAAAGGUUUUUUCGACUAAUGAAUAGAAGGUUGUUAGGAUUUACACGGUACGGGGAGCACUUAAUUCUGUAGAGGUCGAGGUGUACACUGUUGGGAGUGGUAAAGGAUGGAGACACGUUGGGAAGUUUGAUUUUGGUUUUAAAUUUUCCACAGAUUUUGAGCAAACACAUGGUGUAUUUCUGAAUGAAUGUCUUCAUUGGAGGAAUUAAGUAGGAGGAAUGGUUCUGGUAUUUGAUUUGGCUCAUGAAAAGUUUCUUCAGCAUAUUUCACCACCUCCUAUCUAAUGGAGACACAUGAUGAUUGGAAAAAUUAUGAUUGUAAGGUGUUAGGGGUAUCUGGUGGUGGGAUUUUAUAUUAUGCUGUUUGUCAAUUCUUUGGAGGACGUAACUUUGAUGAUGUAUGGCUGUUAAUGAAGAAGAGUAAUGAUCUUGUAAUGAAAGAACAUGAAGAACACCAGUCAUGGGGUUGGAGUAAGGUGACUAGUCUUGGGCAAAGCAAACCGUUCGCAUUUAUGAAGAAUGGCAGCGUCGUUUUACAUUACGAUGAAGGCACUAUCAAAGUAUUUCGCUCAUCAACUUCAACCUGGAGAAACCUUGUAAAAUACCGUGUAAUAUCUCAUCAAGUAUUUCCACACAAGCAUACCUUAGUAUCAUUGAAAGAAUUGGGUGAAGAAGGUGCAACGAAGUCACAGGGAAUUAGUGGACCAAUCAACUGUUAGAAACUGUCACACUUUAUUACUUUGCUAAUUGCGUUUGUUAGUUGCUUCACCUAAUCUCAACGGGAGAACGUGAUGCAUGCUUUAGUAAUUUGUUUCAUUCAUUGAUCGGAUUCGAAUGUGAGA